rnacentral:rRNA from 1 species
UACAGAGGUCCCAAGCGUUGUUCGAAUUCACUGGGCGUAAAGGGUGCGUAGGCGGUCGGGUAAGUCUGACGUGAAAUCUUCAAGCUCAACUUGGAAACUGCGUCGGAUACUAUUCGGCUCGAGGAAUGGAGGGGAGACUGGAAUUCUCGGUGUAGCAGUGAAAUGCGUAGAUAUCGAGAGGAACACCAGUGGCGAAGGCGAGUCUCUGGACAUUUCCUGACGCUGAGGCACGAAAGCCAGGGGAGCAAACGGG